UGGUAGAGGAUGGUAGAAUUUCAGGUGUAGCGGUGAAAUGCGUAGAGAUAGGGAGGAACACCAAUGGCGAAGGCAGCCAUCUGGCCUGAUACUGACGCUGAGGUGCGAAAGCAUGGGGAGCAAACAGGAUUAGAUACCCUGGUAGUCCAUGCCGUAAACGAAGUCGACUAGCCGUUGGGACCUUUGAGAUUUUAGUGGCGCA
rnacentral:rRNA from 1 species